UACGUAGGGUGCGAGCGUUGUCCGGAAUUAUUGGGCGUAAAGAGCUCGUAGGCGGCUUGUCGCGUCGGUUGUGAAAGCCCGGGGCUUAACCCCGGGUCUGCAGUGGAUACGGGCAGGCUAGAGUUCGGCAGGGGAGACUGGAAUUCCUGGUGUAGCGGUGAAAUGCGCAGAUAUCAGGAGGAACACCGGUGGCGAAGGCGGGUCUCUGGGCCGAUACUGACGCUGAGGAGCGAAAGCGUGGGGAGCGAACAGG
rnacentral:rRNA from 1 species